rnacentral:tRNA from 1 species
AGGGAAUUAGUUUAAUAAAAACACUUGAUUUCGGCUCAAAAGCUUGUGGUUAAAGUCCAUAAUUGCCUA